GUUUCUUCAGUCUUAGGGGUUCUUUAUUGUUUAAGUUUUGUUUUUAACGGUCUGUUUGGUUUUGUUGUUGAUAGAUAACUCGCCAUUGCGUCCGCCUCCACAUCUCCCUUUCUGCACAUUCUGCGCAACCUGUCCGAGAAGGAGCUCCUGAGUGGCAGAGAGACUUUGCUGCUGUUCUGGAACCAAUGCAUAUGGACUAGGAGACGAGAUAUCAAAGUAAAAUUCUGGGAGCAUCUUCUCAGACGCAGUACAUGCGGGUUCUAUAUGACGUAAAGUCGUACACGGGCAAGAAGAGCGGUUUCCUUCCACUUGUUUUCCCCCCUUUUUCACCUUCUCAGGACACAAAGAUUGGUUUGUGUACAGGGGCUGGAUGGUCUUCAUCUUUUGUGGACUUCUGAGGCUUGACUACAUUUCCCAUAGUGCAACCUGUUUUAAGUGUCACGUUUGUACCAGGAAUAUAUCCUAGAAGGCAUUACCACCCACAGUGGAUAAAGCAGUGGGUGGUAAUAUCAUGACAGGCGGCAUUGAGAUCCCACCUUUAAUGAAAGAGACCCCACACACAGAUCCUGUAGCCACCAGACCCAGACAUGGCACACGGCGUCACAAUGCCCCGACGUAAACUCUGGACACAUGUCUGGUUGUAAGGUUUCAUGUAAAGACAAAGAAAUGAGAAAGAGUUGCACUGCAUAUGAAAGCACUGGUGAAAUAAAAUUCAGUAGGACAGAAUAUGUAACAUCCUGACACACACUCACACAGGUUUUGAUAGUAAGAAAAAAACAGUACCUGUAUGGAUGGAUGGUCACUUACAUCUUCCAGCUGAUUGAUGAAGGUUUCAAACGGUUCUUCUGGAUACAGCUGCUGACCCCACUGUUCAAUUUCACUCAUCAGAAUCUGUAGAUCUUCUUCCUGGGGGGUAAUAAAAAAUAGGUUUUGAAUGAAUGAGUGAAUGAAUUAAUUAUGUUACACUUAUGAAAAAGCCUUUUUAUAAACCUGAGGAUGCUUUAAUUCACACAGUAGAAUAAUGCAAAUUCUACUGUAUGGACAAGAGUGCUGGGACACGUGUUUAUUCGUGGUUUCUUCUUAAAUCAAGAGUAUUAAAUGAGUGUUCAUCCUG